rnacentral:rRNA from 1 species
UACGAAGGGGGCUAGCGUUGUUCGGAAUCACUGGGCGUAAAGCGCACGUAGGCGGACUCUUAAGUCGGUGGUGAAAUCCUGGAGCUCAACUCCAGAACUGCCUUCGAUACUGAGAGUCUCGAGUCCGGGAGAGGUGAGUGGAACUGCGAGUGUAGAGGUGAAAUUCGUAGAUAUUCGCAAGAACACCAGUGGCGAAGGCGGCUCACUGGCCCGGUACUGACGCUGAGGUGCGAAAGCGUGGGGAGCAAACGGG